AGAUGUGAGAGCUAACUAGCUACAUUAUCUGUCACUCCAUUCAUCACCAGGGUUGAUUCGGAUGACCUGACUGGUUAGACAGGCACCCCCUUCCUUCCUCACCACUCUGUAUACAUCCCUUCUGAAGCUGCAUGCUUGGUCUAAGAGGAUGAUCUUCCCAUUAGAAAACAGCUCAAAAGCUGGGCAUGGGUGG
rnacentral:snRNA from 1 species